CAAAACAUAGUUUACAUAAAACCUCUUGCUUACACCAAGAAAUCGUCUGUGAGACCCGGACUGCUUUGA
rnacentral:tRNA from 1 species